rnacentral:rRNA from 1 species
AUUGAACGCUGGCGGCAGGCCUAACACAUGCAAGUCGAACGAGUGGCGGACGGGUGAGUAAUGUCUGGGAAACUGCCUGAUGGAGGGGGAUAACUACUGGAAACGGUAGCUAAUACCGCAUACCAUCGGAUGUUCCCAGAUGGGAUUAGCUGGUGGGUGGGGUAACGGCUCACCUAGGCCACGAUCCCUAGCUGGUCUGAGAGGAUGACCAGCCACACUGGAACUGAGACACGGUCCAGACUCCUACGGGAGGCAGCAGUGGGGAAUAUUGCACAAUGGGCGCAAGCCUGAUGCAGCCAGGCGGCGUGUAUGAAGAAGGCCGUAGGGUUGUAAAGUACUUUCAGCGGGGAGGCGGUACCCGCAGAAGAAGCACCGGCUAACUCCGUGCCAGCAGCCGCGGUAAUUC